rnacentral:lncRNA from 12 species
GCAGAACCCCAUACUGCCAACAGAUCUGGAUAAGAGGAAAAAUAAAGCUCUAAGAAGUCCAGGGCAACAGUUAUUACCAGGCUCUCUUCAUCCCAUGCCGUAUUUUCACCCCACUGUCAAGUCACCAUUCCUUGCUUUGUCACUCCAGCACACCACUGGAAGGAUCACAGAAGCAUCUCAGAAGUUCACUCCUGCUAAAUUCUGGUUUAUUACCUUCCCAGCAAUGUGUCCCUCCACAGACACCUCCCUUAUCACCUCAAAAAGUAUCAAAGGAGCAGCAAACACAAAUACAAACACUGAGCUUACUGGAGCUCUAAGGUUGUCCAAGUCCCUCCCAUUCUCCCUGGAAAGCUGCUCAGGGCUGGUCGGGGGAGCUGCCCAGCACAGCCCCCCAGUUCUGACCAACAGCCACACCUGCUAGAGUUCACCUCACCAAAAGCUGCAAAAAUCCCCAAUUUUUUGCUGAC